GAUGAAGAACGUAGCGAAAUGCGAUAAGUAAUGUGAAUUGCAGAAUUCAGUGAAUCAUCGAAUCUUUGAACGCACAUUGCGCCCGCCAGUAUUCUGGCGGGCAUGCCUGUUCGAGCGUCAUUUCAACCCUCAGGCCCCGCCUGGCGUUGGGGAUCGGCGCGGCCCUCUCCGGGCUGCCGGCCCCGAAAACUAGUGGCGGUCUCGCUGUAGUCCUCCUCUGCGCAGUAGCAACGCUCGCACUGGAACUCGGCGCGGCCACGCCGUAAAACACCCCACUUCUGAAAGUUGACCUCGGAUCAGGUAGGAAUCCCCGCUGAACUUAAGCAUAUCAAUAAGCGGAGGA
rnacentral:misc_RNA from 1 species